rnacentral:miRNA from 1 species
UUGGCAAAAAAGUUCGUACAGGUUUUUCUGUAAAAUGCAAUGGAAAAACACGAACGAAAUUUUUGGCCA